UAUUUUGUUUCAAACCAAAUCCUAAACAAACUAGCGCCCCUCUCCCUCUCCCUCUCCCUCUCCCUCUCCGCUGCUCCUCUUCUCUCCUCUCAUCGUCGCUCCACCAACCAUGGAACAGCUCUCCUCCGCCGCUCCUCCUCGCGUUCGCUGGCAACUGGAGCACCGAUUCACCUCCUUGUUCAUCACCGUCGCUUGAGAUCCAUCACCCACGGAAGCUCGAUCAGCGGCUCCUCCCUCACAAAGAAUGAUGAGGCCACUAGUUUCUUUUCCCCAUUAUCAUCAUCAUCUGAGGUCGUCUUAUCGCUGACCGUGCACGUGCUGUGAGAAGCAGAAGAAAGAGGCUACCCACAUUCAGGAAGAGCAUGAUUGCCUUCAGAAACAGGUUUCGCAUCUGGUAUACCAGAAUGAAUACAUGUGGCAGCAACUGAAAAUUGUAUGUUCAAAUCAUUAUAUGCAUCAACUAUUGAUAUUUUGGAUUGCUUUUGCGUGGGCUAUUGUGGAUAUUUAUUUUUAUGUACGAAGAACAUUUGUUUUGUAUAUGGCAGACCUUUAUUUUUGUACAAUCCUUUAUUUUGGAAAUCUAGUGUUUUUGUAUGUAAUAUUUAAUUUAGAUGGAUUACACUUGGUUGGUAUGCAUUUAUAUGAUAUUUGGAAUAUGAUGUUAUUCAA